rnacentral:rRNA from 1 species
AUUGAACGCUGGCGGAAUGCUUUACACAUGCAAGUCGAACGGCAGCGCGGGUGCUUGCACCUGGCGGCGAGUGGCGAACGGGUGAGUAACAUAUCGGAACGUGCCCAGUAAUGGGGGAUAACUAACCGAAAGGUUAGCUAAUACCGCAUACGCCCUGAGGGGGAAAGCGGGGGAUCGAAAGACCUCGCGUUAUUGGAGCGGCCGAUAUCUGAUUAGCUAGUUGGUGGGGUAAAGGCCCACGAAGGCGACGAUCAGUAGCUGGUCUGAGAGGAUGAUCAGCCACACUGGGACUGAGACACGGCCCAGACUCCUACGGGAGGCAGCAGUGGGGAAUUUUGGACAAUGGGGGAAACCCUGAUCCAGCCAUUCCGCGUGAGUGAAGAAGGCCUUCGGGUUGUAAAGCUCUUUCGGCAGGAACGAAACGCUCUAGAUUAAUACUCUGGGGUAAUGACGGUACCUGAAGAAGAAGCACCGGCUAACUACGUGCCAGCAGCCGCAGUAA